AGCAGCCGCGGUAAUUCCAGCUCCAAUAGCGUAUAUUAAAGUUGUUGCAGUUAAAAAGCUCGUAGUUGAAUUUCGGGGUCAGUAGGCUGGUCAUGCCACUGGUAUGUACUGGUCUCACUGAUUCCUCCUUCCUGAUGAACUGUAAUGCCAUUAAUUUGGUGUUGCAGGGAAUCUGGACUGUUACUUUGAAAAAUUAGAGUGUUUAAAGCAGGCUAACGCCUGAAUACAUUAGCAUGGAAUAAUGAAAUAGGACGUUCGAUCCUAUUUUGUUGGUUUCUAGGAUUGACGUAAUGAUUAAUAGGGAUAGUUGGGGGCAUUAGUAUUCAAUUGUCAGAGGUGAAAUUCUUGGAUUUAUUGAAGACUAACUACUGCGAAAGCAUUUGCCAAGGAUGUUUUCAUUAAUCAAGAACGAAAGUUAGGGGAUCGAAGACGAUCAGAUACCGUCGUAGUCUUAACCAUAAACUAUGCCGACUAGGGAUCGGAUGAUGUUAAUUUUUAAUGACUC
rnacentral:rRNA from 1 species